rnacentral:lncRNA from 1 species
UCAAACCAACGUGUCAUAUUGCUGUCAUCGAGUUGUGACUCCACAAGUUCAUGUGUCGUUUGGAAAGUUUAUCACACGGACACAUAUACACACAUGGGGUUACAUGUACUGCAUUUUUAAAAUUUGCGUUUCAUGCAAUUUACUACUAGAUAUAUUUCGUAGAAUUGUGAUUUUCCGACAAAUUGCUCCACUUUUUUUUGCCUGUGAUGUGACUUGUAAAUUUCAUGCCUCUCUUCUGCCUUCAAUUUUGAAAUUAGUUUGAAUCCGGGAGCACCUAAAUUAUUGAAAUAGUUGGUAUCCAAUACUUUAAACUUGUUAAAUUAUACUAUGUCAACUGUGGAGUUGUAUUGUUGCAACUAUGUCUGAGAUUGUAUAUUUGACACGAAGUUAAAUCACAAAUUCAUUUCACAUGAAUUUAAAAUUAAAUAAAAAUCAGGCAGUACAAACACUCCUUUCAUAACGUUAUUACUUCGUUCUCUGUCUUAUAUUUAUUUAUUAGAGAAAAAUUCAAAAGUUAAAUAAAACAUGAAAUAAUUUAUGGAUUUGAAGCCCUUUCGAACUAUCUGUGAGGAUGUGUGUGUGAAUAUUUAUAUAUUAAUGUACAUCAAAUGAAUCAAAAUGAAAAAGGAACUAUGUCUUUGUUUUGGACAAUUAAAACCUCGAAGUGACUAGACCUCGCAGAAAAUCAGCGCCUCAAAUGCGAUGAGAACAAGCCGUAAAGCAUUCCGGGCAGUUUCUAGAACACGUAAUGUGCCACAUCCCCGAGUUGAGAACAGUCCAGGACAUAUCAGAACUCAAAUCACCAGCCACGCCACAGAAUAAAAACCUAACAGAUGAGAAAUUUCUCAACCAUUUACGAUCAACUACGUCCACCUGACCAUCCCACUCCACACCGACUAGUCCCAGUCAAAAAGAAAAGUCCUGAGCUCACAACCACUCCAGCUAUGAAAAUAAAAAGAAAAGAAAAAAGAAACACAUGAAGCUCAGGCAGUGGGGAUCGCGAAACCCUAAAAAUCCAACUUACCAUGUCUACGUCACCUCUGGGCAUUGCACCAAGUUUUUAUCACAAACUUGAAGUCAUUGUUCACGUUUUAUACAGUAAACAAUUCAUUUAAAACUAGGUUUAUUUCUACAUAUUAAAAAAUAAAAUAAUAAAAAAGACAAAUGAAGAAUAUCGAUGCAAUCGUAUGUGUUUAACAUUUUGGUUUCUGUAGAACUGGCUCAACAUAACAAUUCUUUAUUACUAAGAAUGCAACUCAAAUUCCAGUCAUAAGUUAAGUCUAAUUCUCAAAUACAACAACAACAACAAAAGGAUACUCUAUAUCAGUGAUAGGCUAUUUUUUGUAAUGUUUUGAAAUCAAUACAAUGAUAUUAUUUAAAAAUUAUCAUCCAUUGUAUGAAAUUAUGUUUAUAUAUAUAUAUAUAUAUAUAUAUAUACGUGGAAACUCAUGAUGUUGGCCACAAAAAUAUUUAUUGAAAAUUACAAUUGGGAGCUUCGAAGCUCUAAGCCUCAUCAUGCAGAUUUUGAUAUUUGAUUGAUAAAAAGUUGAAUUAUUAAUUAACUAUUGCUUUACCUUCGAUGAAACAAUGAGAUAUGGAGCCAAUUAGAAAUGGUUAUUGUCUCCUUUGGAUUAUCGCUUAGUUCAGAACAUAAAUGAGAAUAAAAGCCAAACACUCAUGAUUUUGCAACAAAGAACACGUGGACAAUG